rnacentral:tRNA from 3 species
GCGCAUGUGGCGUAAUUGGUAGCCGCACCAGACUUAGGAUCUGGCGGGGAAACCCGUGGGGGUUCGAGUCCCUCCAUGCGCA